rnacentral:rRNA from 1 species
CAGUAGCCGCGGUAAUACAGAGGGUGCAAGCGUUAAUCGGAAUUACUGGGCGUAAAGCGCGCGUAGGUGGUUUGUUAAGUUGGAUGUGAAAGCCCCGGGCUCAACCUGGGAACUGCAUCCAAAACUGGCAAGCUAGAGUACGGUAGAGGGUGGUGGAAUUUCCUGUGUAGCGGUGAAAUGCGUAGAUAUAGGAAGGAACACCAGUGGCGAAGGCGACCAACUGGACUGAUACUGACACUGAGGUGCGAAAGCGUGGGGAGCAAACAGGAUUAGAUACCCGCGUAGUCCCUGUCUCUUAUAC